AGAGUUUGAUCAUGGCUCAGAACGAACGCUGGCGGCAGGCCUCAAACAUGCAAGUCUAGGGGGUGUAGCAAUACACCACCGGCGGACGGGUGCGUAACACGUGGGAAUAUACCUUUCGGUACGGAACAACUGAGGGAAACUUCAGCUAAUACCGUAUACGUCCUAACGGAGAAAGAUUUAUCGCCGAAGGAUUAGCCCGUGCUCGAUUAGCUAGUUGGUGAGGUAAUGGCUCACCAAGGCAACGAUCGAUAGCUGUUCUGAGAGGAAGAUCAGCCACACUGGGACUGAGACACGGCCCAGACUCCUACGGGAGGCAGCAGUUGGGAAUCUUGGACAAUGGGGGAAACCCUGAUCCAGCCAUGCCGCGUGAGUGAUGAAGGCCUUCGGGUUGUAAAGCUCUUUUACCCGGGAAGAUAAUGACUGUACCGGGAGAAUAAGCUCCGGCUAACUUCGUGCCAGCAGCCGCGGUAAUACGAAGGGGGCUAGCGUUGUUCGGAAUUACUGGGCGUAAAGCGCGCGCAGGCGGUUUUUCAAGUCAGUGGUGAAAGCCCGGAGCUCAACUCCGGAACUGCCAUUGAAACUGUGAAACUUGAGGACGAGAGAGGUGAGUGGAAUUCCCAGUGUAGAGGUGAAAUUCGUAGAUAUUGGGAAGAACACCGGUGGCGAAGGCGGCUCACUGGCUCGUUUCUGACGCUCAGGCGCGACAGCGUGGGGAUCAAACAGGAUUAGAUACCCUAGUAGUCC
rnacentral:rRNA from 1 species